rnacentral:misc_RNA from 1 species
GAUGAAGAACGUAGCGAAAUGCGAUAAGUAGUGUGAAUUGCAGAAUUCAGUGAAUCAUCGAAUCUUUGAACGCACAUUGCGCCCCUUGGUAUUCCAUGGGGCAUGCCUGUUCGAGCGUCAUCUACACCCUCAAGCUCUGCUUGGUGUUGGGCGUCUGUCCCGCCCCCGCGCGUGGACUCGCCCCAAAUCCAUUGGCAGCGUUCCUUGCCCCCUCUCGCGCAGCACAUUGCGCUUCUCGAGGGCGGCUCCGGGACGCGAUCCGGCAAGAUGACCACCGUCUUUGACCUCGGAUCAGGUAGGGAUACCCGCUGAACUUAAGCAUAUCAAUAAGCGGAGGA